CCUCACUGACUCGACCUUGUUCAGGGAGAGUACAAUAUGCAGUAUUCCUGGGAAUCGCUAGAUGGUGCACAACAUACAAAGAAAAGAAAAGAAAAGCAUGAUGGGACCUCACGUGAUGACGCCCCUUCCCAAUCAUCAUUUCCUUUUGUGCUUCGCGCAAGGUGCACGCAUCGAGUUUGCUCCGGUAUGAUCCGGUAGUGACUCAGUUUUUCGUUGUUGGAAAAUUAUCAAGUGGUGGAGCUACGAGAAGAACCACUUUCGGCGCACCAUGCCGCCGAUAGGGUAAGCCCCUAUCGGUCGGCUACUAUCGUCGCAGCAGGCCGUAAGACCGGGAAGGGUGAAAAGCCCCUAUCGGCGGGCUACUAUCGGUACUGGCGGUCGAGCUUAGCGCUCAAGGCUUGCCAGGCGCUGGGAAGGACCAAAAGGCCCUUUCGGCGCAACAUGCACGGGAAGAAUUCGGGCCAAGCAUGCCGUAGAACCUGGAGGUUAUCGGCGAGGCUACGUAUACAGACGGCCGUCAUACCUUGUGCCUUACACGGAGCUGGCAUUAUCGGCGCACCAGGCCGAAAAACCUGGAGGAUAGCGCAGCCACAGACGGCCGCUAUGGCCAUGGUGCCCGAGGUUGAGGCACUGGCCCUUUCGGAGAAUUGAGGUAAUACCCCACGUUCUUUGCGCCAGGUGACGCUAAAGAUUCGAGAACGGUGGAAGACUGUUCUCGUGGCCCCAUCCAUAUUCAGAAGGAGCGGCAGCCGCCGUGCCACGUGGGCCGGUCGGGGUAAUCGACAUCUCAAUGGAACUGAUGAAGAAAAUAUUAACCACGUUCUUUAACUGGUUGAUUAACUAUUAUAUGCCGACCAUCUGAGCAUUGUAUACAGUUGCUCGCCACGUGCUCGUCCUGGACUGGCGGGGAUUCCCAGUCACCAGAGCAGGGGCUAUUGAGGUAGCCAAUCAGUUUUGCUGGUGUCCGCAACAUGACGAAGGCCCACAAUGUACCUUGUCCUUCAGUGCUACUCUUGAUGUCAGUUGAUAUUGACAUAUUGCAAGUACUUCUUGCUAUUAAUGUUUCUUAGUGAAAUAUACAAGUUCACACGUUAAGGGUGGAACUGUACUCAUGUGUGAGUGUAAAAUGUUCACUGUUAAAUUAGGUGUUGGGGAACAAUGCAAGUUACCAGACACCUUUCUGAACGUCACUAUCCCGAGCUUCCGGUAGGUGAUGGGUGACAAGUGAGCCAUGCAAUUUAGGCUCACAAGGCUGGCUUCUGGCAGCCUGCAAUCCACUUGACUGGAAACAUUAAAAUGUGAUGUUGAGUUACCAAAAUUGGUACUCACUUCGAUUGUAUUUGUAAAGAUUGCCUUUGCCACAGAUGAGGCUUCUACUUGUUACAAGUUCAGUAUGUUUGUUACACACGUUAUGGGGAUUCCGGAGGAAUCUAACACAGUUGACUUCAUGUUUUGCAUGAACCACACCAAUUCAAAUGUAUUAUUGGUAUGUUGGUACUCUUUGGUUUAUUUAGAGCCACAGUUAGCUUGAAUUUCAGCUAUUGUUUCCUGUGGUCGAUAGAUGGCUUGGGCGCUCUUAUAUUAGCCCAGUCGUUCAACACAUUCAUGCUAUACAUUGCCUUACCUUACAUGUACAUUGUACCCGUUACAAUUGUUGUGCAAUAAACAUUGAUUUAUUUUAUUGUUAUAGGCUGUUCUUUCACGAGGAUCAGCCACUUCAUCUAAUGGGUUUCUCCCCUCUAUGAAGGGAAACAAGAGGUUUGUGUUUUUCUCCUCAAAGGUGACUUGAGGAUGGCUCCUUCCCCUUGGGAAAAGGGGGGGGCAAGUUGAUGGGACUGGACAAUGUGUACCAAGUCCUAAGGAUUAAUGCUUUUUCAGUGUUUGUUCAUCAGGCACUCAGUGUUAUCUAACAGUUAUACUGGUAGGACAUUAGGUCACGAGAACUGACCUUCUUAGACUAUAACUGAUACUUCAGUUGAUACCUGUGCUGUCCAGAUACAGCUUUGGAGUCUGCAUAUUGUACUCUCCCUGAACAAGGUCGAGUCAGUGAGGUAUAAUUGGGGGUUAUGCUAAGAUGUACUUACCAUCUACAGUAUAAUCUGAAUUAUACCUCAUACGAGACCUUGUUCAGGUAUAUCUUCCCACCCUCAGUAACUUAUGUUCAGCUGCAGGGAUUUAGUGAACAUUACCCACCCAUGGACAGCACAGACUUAUUUAUCUACUCUCGCACUCAGUCAAUGAUGAUUGG